GGUUGAUGGGCAAAGUCGGUGAAGAGACUUACCUGCUGGACACGUGGAAAUUGUGGAAAGUUUAAUGGACCUACGUGGUCAAGAGAAAGCCAGUUCCCACAAGCUGUCGCCUCACCUCCACAUGUGCACAACUAUAUCUGCACCGUGCAGAUGAGGAAGUAAGCCUCCUGGUUCAUUGUUAAAUAUUUGAAUACUGAAACCAUGAGCUUACAAAAGCUCCAGGAAUCCAGGACACAACUUUUCCCUCAGAAUUACCUGAGAUUGGGUUCUGGACCUGAUACAUCAUCACCAUGGAGAUUUCAGUGUGUUUUUCCAAGGACGGUGUCCUGCAUCAGCAUGAGACAACAACCAAAGUUUUAGUUCCCGAACUUUGGAGGCCCUGGACUGACAUCCUAGAAGGAAGGAUUCCACUCUGCUCAUAACCUGGGACGGUGGCUGGUAUUAGCAGUUCAUUGCUAACUCUGGAUUUUCUGAGUCCCAUCUUUUUCCGUGGCCAGAGAACUGCAGAACUGACCGGGGUCCCACCAACUCUGGCUGUGAAUGCUACUGUUUGCUGGCUAGAGUCUGACAUACUUCUGAGGAACGUAGAAAAAACAGUUCUUGCUAUUCUGAGUAAAAAAAUGGUCAGUGGUCCCAAAUAUAAAACAGUCUACUUAUAAAGCUGAAGCCUAGGAGCCAUGUUGGUUUCUAAACCACAACAUUUCACUACACAAACUCUCCUGCUGGGGUGCCUAGGGAGUUGCUACCUUCCACAGCCCAGCUCCAUCUUAUUCCCCACUAAGUAUAACUUACCAAUUCAGACUAUCUGCUCCAGGGACAGAGCUACAAGUGUGAGGGUAAUGGGGAGCAGAGCAAAGAGAAUAUGGCUGAGAAUGGGGGUUCUUUGGGGACACGGUUCAUAUCCGAAUCUCUUUAUGUCCUCGAGGAAGAGUAGAUGAUACCAAUCAGAAGCAUCGAUGAGGGCAGGAGACAGGAAAGAGCGACUUCUGUAGCUUCUACGCGGUUCAUCUUCCCUUAGCCACCAUUCAUACCAUCAUUUCCCAAGUCCCCAGUUUAGAGCUCUCCACGAGAGGUCAGAAGGCUCCAAACUCAAUUCUGCUUCCACAUUAGACUUCAGGAGCUCGGGAUCUAUUUUUAGAACUAAUUUGUUUAGAACUAAUGGUCCCUCUAACCGCACAGCACCCACACUUCUACCCUGGCCCUGCCUCCAUUGCCCAGGAAGCCUUUUCUCUGCUUCCCUGAGAUGUACCAGCUGUUGCUGCAAGUUCCUUCGUGUGCAUCAAGUGCACAGCUACAGAACAGCUAGCAUCUGUCUAUAUUCCUGACAGUGACAUUAAGAGGAUAUUUUGAGGUUACAAGUGUCUCCUGUGAGGGACCACAAAAGCACUAUGUAACAGUUGAUCCUUUCCUCUCGUUUUCAUGACCACACAGACUUGUACUCUAACAUGUAAACUGGUGAGUCUCUCAACUAGAUUUUUGACCUUAAAAUUCCUAAAGUCAAAUGCAAGCGGCUGUAAACUUCUCCACCAAGGACUCUCUGAAUUCUAUGGGCCCCGCAACUACAUUUUGCCUAGGAGAAAUGAAAGCACCAAGGGAUGAGGCGUCAAGCCCUGCAAACUGAACUCCAGUGAUCGGCUUAUAACAGGACAACCGUCCUAACCUGGAAGGACUCCCUCCUCUUCAGUUACCAACCCACCCAGGGAAGGGACCAUGGAGAAGGUUC